rnacentral:rRNA from 1 species
GAUGAACGCUGGCGGCGUGCCUAAUACAUGCAAGUCGAGCGAACGGACGAGAAGCUUGCUUCUCUGAUGUUAGCGGCGGAAGGGAGAGUAACACGUGGAUAACCUACCUAUAAGACUGGGAUAACUUCGGGAAACCGGAGCUACUACCGGAUACUAUUUUGAACCGCAUGGUUCAAAAGUGAAAGACGGUCUUGCUGUCACUUAUAGAUGGAUCCGCGCUGCAUUAGCUAGUUGGUAAGGUAACGGCUUACCAAGGCAACGAUGCAUAGCCGACCUGAGAGGGUGAUCGGCCACACUGGAACUGAGACACGGUCCAGACUCCUACGGGAGGCAGCAGUAGGGAAUCUUCCGCAAUGGGCGAAAGCCUGACGGAGCAACGCCGCGUGAGUGAUGAAGGUCUUCGGAUCGUAAAGCUCUGUUAUUAGGGAAGAACAUAUGUGUAAGUAACUGUGCACAUCUUGACGGUACCUAAUCAGAAAGCCACGGCUAACUACGUG